AUCUAUGGCUAUACCACCUUGAACAUGCCUGAAAUAGACUGAUUCUGAUUUCUAAAGCUAAUCUGGGUGGGAUCUGGUUAGUACUUGCAUGGCAGACUGCUUGGGUAUACUAAGUGUUGUAGGCU
rnacentral:rRNA from 1 species